rnacentral:snRNA from 1 species
GUGCUCACUUUGGCAGCACAUAUACUAAAAUUGGAACGAUAUAGAGAAGAUUAGUAUGGCCCCUGCACAA